UACGGAGGGUGCGAGCGUUAUCCGGAAUUACUGGGUUUAAAGGGUGCGUAGGCGGCCAUGUAAGUCCGGAGUGAAAGUUUGCGGCUCAACCGUAAAAUUGCUUUUGAUACUGCAUGGCUGGAAUCAGGAUGAGGUCAGCGGAAUGUGGCAUGUAGCGGUGAAAUGCAUAGAUAUGCCAUAGAACACCAAUUGCGAAGGCAGCUGGCUAGACCUGUAUUGACGCUGAGGCACGAAAGCGUGGGGAGCGAACAGG
rnacentral:rRNA from 1 species